rnacentral:misc_RNA from 1 species
GAUGAAGAACGCAGCGAAAUGCGAUACUUGGUGUGAAUUGCAGAAUCCCGUGAACCAUCGAGUCUUUGAACGCAAGUUGCGCCCGAAGCCACUAGGCCGAGGGCACGCCUGCCUGGGCGUCACACGUCGUUGCCCCCCCCCCCAUCUACUCCUUCGGGAUUGCGGGGGGCGGAUGAUGGCCUCCCGUGCGCCUAGCCGCGCGGUUGGCAUAAAUACCAAGUCCUCGGCGACGCACGCCACGACAAUCGGUGGUUGCGAAACCUCGGUUGCCCGUCGUGUGCGUUCGUCGCGCAUCGAGGGCUCGAAAAAAUGCUCGGCUCCGGCUCGGCUUUCAACGCGACCCCAGGUCAGGCGGGGUUACCCGCUGAAUUUAAGCAUAUAAUAAGCGGAGGA